AAGAGGGAGGUUCUAUUGUAUGCAGCUGAAUUUAAUCCUAAAUGAGCCUUUCCAUAGUAAAUUAUUUUACUGUAAUUUACAAACCAAAAUGAUAGAAAUUUGAUACGACAGAAACCAAAAUGAUAGAAAUACAGUAUGAGCGUAGCAGCUCCUGAAUUCCAAUAUGAAAAAAGUCAAAUGUGUGUGUGUGUGUGUAUGUGUGUGUAUAUAUAUAUACACACCUUCAUUUUCACCACAUGAAAAAAGCGGGUAAUAAUGCCUACAUCACAGGGAUGCUGUCAGACUCAAAUAAAAUAGACUGUGCUAACUAGUCUGUAAACAGAGCGUUAUAUUCAUCAUUACUAUUGCAAUUACCACUAUACUAGCUGACUGGUUAAGUGUCAGUCACAAAACAAAAAGUAUAUGAAAGCAAUUAAAACAGAAACCUGGGUUUCAAGCCCAAGGAAUUCUGUGACCCUGUCAAACCUCCUUCACUAACUUUCUUAUCUCUUUUACUUUGCAGAAAAUACUAGAUCAGCAACCUCAGUUUCCUUUUCUAAAGUGGGGGGGGAGGGGUGGGGCGUGGAAGGAGUUGAGUGGUUAUAAGGGGAAAAAAGAGUAACGGUGGUAAAAGGUUGAAAGCAGUUAGGGAAUAUGACACAUCUGAAAUAUAUAACCCUGCUUUAGCAUUUCACAAACUGUCCGGAGGUAGUCCAGCCAUUUUUAAAUUGAUGCUAGCAAUGGUUUACUUCUACAAUUUAUUCACUCAAAAGAAAAGACUAAAUACAUGCAUACAGCUUCUACAGAGUAUGUAGCAACUUAUCAUUAAAGGUGGGAUGCAGUAUGAGAGAAGUAAGGGGAGGUGCCCUGAUACAAAAAAGGAUUUUUUUUUUUUAAACCUGUGCACUCAGGCACAGGCAGUAUAUUUAAAACAAAAAUGGCUUCAUCUCUUCCGUUUUUACACUUAAGAAUGAUUUAACUUCUCCAAAAUGUGUCUUGAAGUCUGAAAAAAAGCAAAUGAAUUCACUUGUUGAAGCGAUCAACGCGCCCCUGAAACCGCUUCUGGAGGCUACUUUAAUUCACGGAGACACUGUACGGGAGUCAUGUCGCAUUGCGUUGUUCAAUUCAUUCUGUUUUGAAAAGUAUUCCAUGGUCAUGUAACUCCGAGACACGUGCUUGAAGCAAUUUUACUCUUUGCCAGACUUCCGCUUUUCAGAAUCUUCUAAGAGGAGACCGAAAUUAAGAGAUGCUUUUUACUAAGUUUCAAAGAUACCCACCGGCAGCAAACGAGCCAUCCAGGGGUGUCAGAGAUGAGGCGACAGGCAGACGGAUGCCAAGAAUCUGCGGCACAUUUUAAAGGGCUACAGUCAGGAUAACAGGAGUGUGAGAGACAAAGUCAGACAUCUUGAAGGUUUUUGUUCCCAGAAGGGCUACCAGAGGCACUGCCCUUUUAUGUACCCUUCUCCGCUGAAUGGCCAUAUCCAAGCAGCUUUAAUUAAGCAGCAUGGUCUCUGGGGAAUUGGAACUAUUCUACCUUUCCUGUUUGAGACACUUCUUUUAUAAUGGCUGUUUGUGAGUCUGAUGUAUGACUGAGGGCUUGCCGGUCUUCUGAGCCAGCAGGAAGAAUAAAAACAGCGAAAUAACACGAUCUCCUGAGAAGGUAAUCUGUCUAAUGCUAGAGUGAACCAGACCAUUCCAUCCCAGAUCUAAGCGAUGUCUUCCAUAUCAAAGUUCUCCCAAAAGACAGUACAUCCCAAACCCUAUAAUCUUAUUUUCAGGCCAUGACUACGCUGUUAAUAACAUACAUGAGUUCAGUGGGACUUACUUUAAUCAUUUCUGAAACACAGUUUAUUUUUAGUAAAUAUAAAAGUCCCCCACAUGGGAAGCUACAACCAUGCCAAAAAUUUUCUAUGAGGAGAUAAAGUCCUAUUUAUAGACCUAUCAGUUGCUCCUUGCUUAGGCUGUAACAUAGUUUCCACUUUAAGCCUGAUAUGACCUCCCCUGACUUCUCUCCUCUCUAAUGUUCUUUUCAUCCUGAAGUUUCUCACAUUUAUCUUCACCUCCACAGGGCACUUAAGCUACCAUGGGGUUGGGGGGAGGGGGAAGGGAGAAGGAAAGAAUCUCCUCUCCCUAAGCCUUCUCCCAGUGGAGGGGUUUAGGUGGGUUUCAGGAACCUAAAACAAGGAAGAAAGGAGUUCUUCAUCCGGUGAGCUGUUUGCGAGAGAACCUAAUAAAUAAAUACUUAGUCCGCAAGAACACUGCCACACAAGCGAGCCACGCUCCUGACAAGUGGGCCCACAGAGGUCUUCAUCUGUGUAUGACCUGGCUUCAAGUUUUCCAUCUUUUACAAAGCCAGCAAGAAUAAAUGUCAAGGUUUCCAAUAUGGAGGAUGUUGUACCACAGCUAACCAGGGAACCAAACGAUAAAUGUAAGAGAUUUAUUAACUUUCUCCUAAAGACUGUCUCCUUCAGGGCCCAAGCUGCUGUUGAUGUUGUUUCACAUCAGCUGCCUGCAUCUACACAUCCCCACUUAAAAUGCUAACUGCCGGACCUCCAUCAACGAUUUCAGAAGGGUCUUAUAUCCUGAACGAGACUGCAAGUUCGAUUAUGAGCUCCUCAAGGGCAAAAGCCGUGUCUUAUUCAUCUCAGGAUCAUCCGCGUUAUGCCAGGCAGCUGGCACAGAACAGGCACACGGUACUCAUUGCUGAAAUAUUUGUUAGGCUGAUCCGGAUGGCAGGGGCCACGGAGUAAAUAUACUUCUCUUAUGUGAAUCUCACUGCACACAACUUAGGAAGGGCCAACCUGACUGCAGUAGCACUGGAUCGCAAGCAAUUCCUGAAAGGAGGGAGAAGAACACGGCCAUGAAGGUGACACCCAGGCACCUCCCACUGGGGGAUCUCAUCCCCAUUCGCACGCGUUCAAAGACAUGGUGAACACAGGAUACACCGAAUGACAGGGCAAAUGACAGUAUUUCCUCACUCCAAGGAAAUUCAACCUGCUUUUUCCAUCUACCUGUUUAUCACUCAUCUUCUCAUGCCCACCUCUUCCUGCCCCCCACCAAUUCACAGCGAAAUCCCCAACUCUCCAGGAUCUCCAGGAAAAAGCUCGUGAUUUAGCAUUUUCACUUAUAACAAGAAUGGAUGGAUUUAAAUUUCAGUAAAAAUAACUCAAAAUAAACAUCAGUUAAAAAUUCCCUGAUUGUAAAAGUUGGCAAAGACCAAGAAAUGCUCCUCUUAAAAAGCCGUUUUCCACUCUGACCUUUAUCACGUAAAAUGGUACUUCCCUUUUUAACAGAAGACAUACGGAUUUUCUGGGGUGAGCUGAGGCGUGGACAUGGAUGAUUAAAUGAACUCUCAAGCUCAUUUUUCGGAGGCAGCAUGAUACUAAAGAAAGAACUUGGGUUUGUAAGUAGAAUCAAAUUGCCAAAUCACCACUCAGGAGCUAUGACCUUGAGCAAGGACUCUAACCUAACCUCUCUCAACCUCUAUUUCUUCAUCUGUAAAUGCAGGGCUAUUUAUUAUGAAAAUCAGAAAUAACGUACAUAAAACAUCUAGUAGGUUAGUGCCUGGCUAAAUAAAUUACAAUUGUUAAUA